rnacentral:rRNA from 1 species
UACGAAGGGGGCUAGCGUUGCUCGGAAUUACUGGGCGUAAAGCGCACGUAGGCGGGUCUUUAAGUCAGGGGUGAAAUCCUGGUGAGCUCAACUCCAGAACUGCCUUUGAUACUGAAGAUCUUGAGUUCGGGAGAGGUGAGUGGAACUGCGAGUGUAGAGGUGAAAUUCGUAGAUAUUCGCAAGAACACCAGUGGCGAAGGCGGCUCACUGGCCCGAUACUGACGCUGAGGUGCGAAAGCGUGGGGAGCAAACAGG